GAUAACGUAGGGCAGAUCCUGAGGGUGGACUCCGUUGCCUCGUUAGGGAGAAGUCUCUAUAGCAUCUUUCUACACUAGAGGAAGAUUAGCCCUGAGCUAACAUCUGCUGCCAAUCCUCACCUUUUUUUCUGAGGAAGACUGGCCCUGAGCUAACAUUCGUGCUCAUCUUCCUCUACUUUAUAUGUGGGACGCCUGCCACAGCAUGGCUCAACAAGCAGUGCAUGGGUCUGCACCCAGGAUCCGAACUGCUGAACCCCGGGCUGCCGAAGCAGAACAUGUGAACUCCACUGCUGCACCAGCAGGUGGGAGUCAAGAGAGUGCACACAGAAUAUAAAGCCCCUUCUCAGGAACACAUUUGUGGCCCAGUGUUUUGUUGGUUCGAAUCCUGGGUGUGGACAUGGUACCACUCAUCGAGCCACACUGAAGCGGCAUCCCACAUGCCACAACUGGAAGGACCCACAACUAAGAAAAAGGAAAAAAAAAAAAAAAAAAGAAAACAAAAUCACUAUGUCAAAGUGAUAUCUGUACCCCCGUGUUCAUUGCAGCAUUAUUAACAAUAGCCAAGAUAUGAAAACAACCUAAGUGUUCAUCGAUGGAUGAAUGGACAAAGAAAAUGUGAAAUAUACAUUAUAUAUAUAGUAUACAUAUAAUAUAUGUAAAACAUAUAUAAUGGAAUAUUAUGCAGCCAUAAAAAAGAAGGAAAUCCUGCCAUUUGCAACAAUAUGGAUGGAGCUUGAGAGCAUUAUGCUAAGUGAAAUAAGUCAGGCAGAGAAAGACUAAUAUUGUAUGAUCUCACUUAUAUGUGGAAUCUAAAAAAAACAGUAAAAUAAAACCAAACUCACAGAAAAAAGAUCAGAUUUGUGGUUGCAAAUGUGAGGGGUAGAGGAUGGGGGAAUUGGAGGAAGCUGGUCAAAAGGCACAAACUUCCAGUUAUAAGAGAAAUAAGUACUGUGGGUGUAAUGUAUGGCAUGGUGACUAUAGUUAACACUGCCAUAUGGUAUGAUGAAUAAAUGAAAAGCUGUAAGAAAAAUAUAUA
rnacentral:lncRNA from 1 species